AAACAUGAGAUAGAAGAUGACUGCCCCAUUUUCAUACCUUCAUCCUAUUUUGUUCUCAGGUAAAAGGUAUUAAUAUCUUACAAAAUAAAGAUGAAUAAAGAAUUGGGACUACUGCAAACUGGGAUGAAUUUGCUGCAAGAUGGAAAUGUCAUAAGGAAAAAGAAAACUGGCAAGCUUGUUUGUUAUAUUCCAUUGGAAACAUCCAAGUUUGGUUAAAUAUCAGCAACAGAAAACAGGAUACCUACCUAGAAAUCCAAAGGAGAUCAGAAUGUGUGGGUGACCAGGAUUCAGAGUCUUCAAAUAAUACAGCCAGAAGCAUUGUUUGCUCAGGACAGCACUUCUGACCACAUAUCUCCAAAGUACUCUGAAGCUUGGUAUGUGGAGACUUACUGCAAGUCUGAUGCUGGCCAUCAGUGCUUCCUACUAGACCCACUUAACAUGUCAGACCUACAAAAGAAAUCCUUGCUGUUUCCACGUGCACAGAAUCUACACUGCACAAACUCUGGUUAACUAAUCUUUGAGGAAGAGCUGUGUCUAAACUACAUUCACUUUUUGGAAAUUUUUAAACUUCAUUAACAAGGUCAAAAUAUGCAGAAGUGUCUCUUCUAUCCUCACAGAUAUCUGUGAAGGGCCUGGAGAUAGGGAGCAGCUUGCUCUUGCACCUACCUUCUGCUCUACUGUAAUGAGCAAGAAUGUCUCAAUCCUGUGUUGCCUGAGUCACCAGAUCCACAUCCAGCAGCUGCCUGAUUUUAAAGCAUCUAUUGCUACAUAGAGGCAUAUUGACUCUAAGCAUAUAAUAAGUAUAUUGAUAACAGACAAUGAUAAUUUGAGAAAAUGUGCAAAAUGAACAAGGGAUGUAACUGAAAAGAAUUUUCAAUCUUG
rnacentral:lncRNA from 1 species